AGAAACAAAAGAAACAGAAACACAAAAGCAAACACAAGUCUGCAAAAGCUGAAGUUGUCAGUAACGCUGAUACUACAGAUACUUCUGACAGUGACAGUGAAAUAGAAGAGAAUACAGCUUUGUCGAACCAAGAAAUAUUAAAAAGAUUAAAAAAUCUGUCUCCACAAAGGAGGUAACUGUCAAAUGGAAAAUCACUGUAACAGCUGAAUAGUUACUAUCCUCCAUGAGGGUAGUUCGGUUAAUAAAAUAAUUUAAUUUAUAUAUUGCAUUUAUUGAAUUAUUUUCUAAUGAAUGUGUACAGUCUUUAUAUGUAGUAAACAUAAAAUGUAUAUUAUUAUUAAAUCUUAAGCUGUAAAUGCCUGAAAUGUACAUAACUUAUCAGAAUGAAAUGUUGAUGUUUGCUUUUAAUAAAAUGAAUUUCAUGUUGUCA